rnacentral:rRNA from 1 species
UACGUGGGGGGCAAGCGUUGUUCGGAAUUAUUGGGCGUAAAGGGUGCGUAGGCGGUUUGGUAAGUCUUAUGUGAAAUCUACAGGCUCAACUUGUAGUCUGCAUGAGAAACUGCCGGGCUUGAGUAUGGGAGAGGUGAGUGGAAUUCCUGGUGUAGCGGUGAAAUGCGUAGAUAUCUACAGGAACUCCGGUGGCGAAAGCGGCGUGCUGGACCUUUUCUGACGCUGAGGCGCGAAAGCUAGGGGAGCAAACGGG